rnacentral:tRNA from 1 species
GCCUUUGUGGUGUAGUGGUCAGCACGCUCGACGCGCAACCGAGAGGUCCGCAGUUCGAUUCCCGGCGAAAGGG